rnacentral:rRNA from 1 species
AGCAGCCGCGGUAAUUCCAGCUCCAAUAGCGUAUAUUAAAGUUGUUGCAGUUAAAAAGCUCGUAGUUGAAUUUCGGGGUCAGUAGAUUGGUCGUGCCACUGGUAUGUACUGGUCUUACUGGCUCCUCCUUCCUGAUGAACCGUAAUGCCAUUAAUUUGGUGUUGCGGGGAGACUGGACUGUUACUUUGAAAAAUUAGAGUGUUUAAAGCAGGCUAACGCUUGAAUACAUUAGCAUGGAAUAAUGAAAUAGGACGUUCGAUCUUAUUUUGUUGGUUUCUAAGAUUGACGUAAUGAUUAAUAGGGAUAGUUGGGGGCAUUAGUAUUCAAUUGUCAGAGGUGAAAUUCUUGGAUUUAUUGAAGACUAACUACUGCGAAAGCAUUUGCCAAGGAUGUUUUCAUUAAUCAAGAACGAAAGUUAGGGGAUCGAAGACGAUCAGAUACCGUCGUAGU